rnacentral:rRNA from 1 species
GACAAACGCUGGCGGCGUACCUAAGACAUGCAAGUCGAACGGGACUCUCCGCCUUCGGGCGGGGAGUCGAGUGGCGGACGGGUGAGUAACGCGUAGGAACCUGUCGCCGAGUGGGGGAUAACGGGGGGAAACCGCCGCUAAUACCGCAUGAGGUCAGUGAUGAUCAAAGCCUCGGAAGAGGUGCUUGGUGAGGGGCCUGCGUCCGAUUAGCUAGUUGGUAGGGUAAUGGCCUACCAAGGCGACCAUCGGUAGCUGGUCUGAGAGGAUGGUCAGCCAC